rnacentral:miRNA from 1 species
UAAUACUGCCUGGUAAUGAUGGU